UACGGAGGGUGCAAGCGUUAUCCGGAUUUACUGGGUUUAAAGGGUGCGCAGGCGGAUAUGUAAGUCAGUGGUGAAAUCUCCGGGCUUAACCCGGAAACUGCCGUUGAUACUAUAUAUCUUGAAUGCUGUGGAGGUAAGCAGAAUAUGUCAUGUAGCGGUGAAAUGCUUAGAUAUGACAUAGAAUACCUAUUGCGAAGGCAGCUUACUACGCAGAGAUUGACGCUCAUGCACGAAAGCGUGGGGAUCAAACAGG
rnacentral:rRNA from 1 species